UACAGAGGUCUCAAGCGUUGUUCGGAUUCAUUGGGCGUAAAGGGUGCGUAGGUGGUUUGGUAAGUUGAAGGUGAAAUCUCGGAGCUUAACUCCGAAACUGCCUUCAAUACUGCCGGACUUGAGGACUGUAGAGGAGAAUGGAAUUCACGGUGUAGCAGUGAAAUGCGUAGAUAUCGUGAGGAAGACCAGUGGCGAAGGCGGCUCUCUAGUACGGUACUGACGCUGAGACGCGAAAGCGUGGGGAGCGAACAGG
rnacentral:rRNA from 1 species